UUGGAUGUAGCCAAAUAGGUUAAGGCAUCAUAGUUUGAGUAUGACAAUGUAGGUUCAAGUCCUGCCGUCCAAU
rnacentral:tRNA from 1 species